rnacentral:rRNA from 1 species
AGCGUUGUGGACCCACCUGAUUCCAUGCCGAACUCAGAAGUGAAACGCAAUAGCGCCGAUGGUAGUGUGGGGUUUCCCCAUGUGAGAGUAGGACAUCGCCAGGC